AUCCAACUGACGAGUCCUAAAUAGGACGAAACGCGUGUCUUGGAU
rnacentral:hammerhead_ribozyme from 1 species